CAUUUUACUAAGUCUUUAGGUCUUCCUGGUUCAGAUGAAAAAGAUUUUUUUUAACUUUUUUAAAAAGGUAGAAAAGAACUAUCAGGUUACACAAACCUUAGUGCCUGGUUGUGACUCUCCCCUGUGGGUGAAUCCACAUUUGUGAAGAUCAGAGGGGACUCUUUGCUGAGUGAUGAGCUCCAGGAUGUGGGAGCUAGGACAGAGCAGGACCAAAGACCACUGAUAAUGUCAUUUUUGUUUUAAAACAUGUCAGGACCAACUGGCCAGAUCCAGAACUGGUGUCAAGGGGUACAGCUGUCUCAGAUUCCUUCCUGCUCAGAAUACCCAGGAUUUUGAUCAGGAAAAAAGUGAAAAAAUCAAAGCCUGUGCCUGAACUGAAACCUGGUGGGCCAACUCUCCUUGCUGGUGAAAUUAAUGAGGGCUGGGCUGUGGGAAUUCUCUCACUAUCCUGCUCCACAUCCUCUUGGGGUCACCUCUGCUCCCUCUCUGCAGCCACCUCAUCGCAGCCUAGGGUUUUGUCCCCACGCUUGCGAGGCUCCCAGGGCCAGAUCAGCCAAGGAAUUUCUCUGAGCUUUUACCUCCUCCUGCCAGCCCGAUGCCAGAGGCAGAGCCCACACAGACUGCCAGACAGUAUUUCCAAAGCCAGCACUUGAAACCAAGGUCAGGAUGCUGGGAACCGGCCCCGAAUAUGCCCUUCUAUGGCUAUAGGGUCCACUGGCUCUUGCCUUUGGCGUGGUUUGAAGCUCCCAUGGGCCGUAAUCUGUGGUCUCUUUUUUGUUUUACACUGACUCUUCAACAUGGGCCUUCAGGGUAUGUUCCUGACCAGCUUGUUGGGUGGGAGACAGGGAGUUCAUAAGCUUGCUGGGGUUUGUCUGCCAGAGCUCCCGGCUGUGGCAAUGCAGCGCUGCUCCACAAAGGGAAGGUCGUGGUCCCUUUUCAACACAAAUGCUGCUGGAGGGUUACACAAGCCCAUCACGAGGCAGGGAUGGGUCCCCAACAUGGUUUUGUAACAUGGGUAUGCCAGGACAAUAGAGCUCGACUGACGCCUUCCCAAAAUAAAGCCAUCCUCUCCCACGUGCGGCCUACAGGACACAGUAUUGCAAGGCUCCGGCUCCUCCAGCACAGCUGCUGGCUGCUGAACACCGUGUCUCUGCUGACUGAAGCCACCAGGAAGGGCAGACCCUCUCCAUAUAGUUGGGACAACCUGAGGACAGUGCUUCUUGGUGUUCUCAGGAGAGCCUGGAGCUUUGGGGCACCACCAGGUUGGAUUUCCCCAGGCCCCCCCAGGAGGCUGCCACCCCAGAGGGGCCUUUCUGGCCCUCCAGAGACCCCAGAGCCUCCAGAAGCACUGCAGAUUUAUCAGAUUUAUUGCUGCUGGAUGACACCCUGUGCCCCACUCCUCAGGAAGACCCCAUCCCCUCCAGACCCCUGCUCUCACGGGUUGGUGGAGCAUUAACGCACCAGCCCGGCUAAAGCAGGGUCAGAACCGAUUGCAAAAGGGAAAAAUGCGUAAUGCAGGCAGGGAAGCUGGCUAAAUGAGCAGAAAUCUGGUCAAGGGUGGUCACUUCCUCCAUUUGUAUGAGGAUUCAGGAAGUCCAUUACAAACUACUUCAUCACUGUCACUUCAUUCCAGCUAGAUUACAAAAGAUUAAUGGCUCGGCUCCUCCUACCCUCUGCUGGUGUGUCACAGAGGGUGGUGUUAUCAGCCCCUCGGUGUGUGCCAGGUAGAGUUUCCCAGGAUUUCAAGGAGCUUUCUUUUGCUCUCUAAUACCUUAAUAAUCUGAGCCCGAUCAUCGCGGGAGCCAUUAAAAUCCUUCCAGGCACAGAGAUGGAGGAAACAUACGGUGGAAACAGCAGACGACCAACGUCGUGUCUUUGGGAGGCAGCACUGAGGCUGCGAUGUCUACGAGCGACCUGGCUCUGCUGUCUGGAGUAGGGAGCCUCUUUUAUUAGGCUGCUCCUCAAGCUCGUGUUACUGUCACAGCACGCCAGAGCCCAUUAAUAACUCCUGGAUACAGCACCAGGGUGAUAAGCAAGUCCAUUACACGCUGCAUUCCUGUGUUUGCCCCCAGCCUCGUGGUCCCAAGGAAUUCAACCUGAUCUCCAGAAGUCUUAAGAUGAUUUAUGGCCUCUUCUUUUGCUGUUCUCCUAAUCUUUUCCCAGGUAACCUGACUGAUGUGAAUUAGCUUUGAGUAGGAAAGCCUUAUCCCAAACCUAAGCAAGCACAAACAGGAGCAGGCAUUUGCCAAAGCCCUCACACUUCUACUACCUAUUUAUACAUGCUGGACUCAAGCAUCGGGUAGCCUGCUGUUAUUAUCUGGGCACACAUUUACUCUUCAGAUGACACACAUCAUUUCAGCUGCUCCUCCACUUUCCCCCAGGACUACCAUGUACUGCAUCUGGCAACUCACCACGGUCUCCUCGUCUAUUUUCAGUGCUAAAACAAGGCAGAUCUGAUUUCUGGGCUGGACACAAACUGUUAUUCCCUCCCCAGUGACUGGCGGACUGAAGAACUUAAAGGAUAAGAAACAUAAACCAAGAAGAUGUAUUAUUAAUAUAAUUAAUAGUACUGCUGGUGUAGUAACUACUGGUCCUUGGCUGUGCAGGCAAAUCUUAGUGGUGGUAAAGAUGGAUGCUCCCUGCUUUGGGAAUCCAGUGGCGUGGACCCUACCUCUAUCUGUUCCUUCAAGUCUGGUCUGACUGCGGAUGCCAAAAUACCUUGUGGCCCCUUCUGCUCUGUCUGCUUGGCUCCCACUCAGGACGGCGAGCAGACAGAUAAUGAAAAAAAGGGUUAGAUAGCUGGGAGAGAAAAAUGUUAGACCAAAGAUCUUGGACACAAAUGUGCAGGUUGUUCUGAUCAACCUCCUUUGAGAAAUUGUCUGCUGAAAGAUUUGGGCGCUUCUGUGCCUUAUAGUUCACACAUAAUAAUUUAUGUAUAUUGUUCAGGCUUUUUUCAUUGUCAAAAUCAUAAAAAGGGUCUUGGAUAGCCACUGAAUUUGGAUUUUGUGGUCAUAGAAAAAGCAAGGAUAAGCUCCCCACUGUAACAGAAGAGCAUGAUCACAGAGCCAUUCCCAUAUGCUUCCUCAGGGCUGGACCUUAGAUCAUCACUGGCCAAAAAAACCCCACGAAGAUUUUUUUUCUUCUUCUUCCAGAGUUUCAUAUUCCACUAAGGAUAUAUUAUUAUUUUAAACUUAAUGGGAAUUUAAUCAGAAAGGAGUGACGCAGCGACUAGUCACCAGCUGAGCUCUGCAGAGCCCUGAUGGAUGGGGCCAAGCCCACGUCCAGCCAGCCAGCGCUCCCUCAUCGUGUGAACACUUGCCCUUUGCCAGGCUUUUGGGUUUGGAAAUCAUUACCACUGCCUCCCGCGGCUGUGGCAGCUGAUUACAGUAAUGGGGGAAUUAAAACCCUUCACCUGCUGUGGCUCUUGCUCAGCUCCUCUCCCUGCCAAGUGCUAUCUUUGUCCAUAACAGCCUGCGAAAGCCCACCACAUCUUAAAACAGCAGCAGAUGUUUUGUUUUAAUAGGGGGGAAAAAAAGGGGGAGGAAAGGGAAUCGGUGACAGGCCGUGAAAAAUAAAAAUGGGAGGAAAAAUAGCAAAAUGGAACUGUCCUGUCUGCCUUUAUUCCUCCAUUAGCUGGCACAAUAAAUAAGGUGGACUGGUUUAUCUGGGAGUGAUGCUGUCGAGAGCAGAGCAAUCUGCAGGUGUCCAUCGGGUUCUUCUUGCUGAGUUAGAUAGAGUACUUCCAAAAAUUAAAAAAAAAAAAAAUCCAGAAAAGCCAGGAAGAUACCCAAAUUUGACCCUGAAGCGAACUUCAUCCCACGUAGUGCCUCAGUAAUAUCAACACAAUUUUCUGUCUUGUUGUCAUGCAUGGUGCUAGGCCUCUGAGUUCAGUCUGAGGUUUUGUUUUAAAUGCCUCUGAAAUCUGCAGAUGUUCAGGUCAUGGGGUUUGCUUUGCCACUCACUUAACUUAUUGUUCCUGUGCCACAGGGGUCUGAGAGUAUUUCCAGGUUUAGCAGGAUCAUUUCUUCUGAAAGCUGCUCUCCUAACCCAGCAUUUUAGUGUGCAUUGCUGAUAACCUAUGCCUAAAAUAAUGGCAUGACUGAGCGCUUGGCUGGGAUCCACCUGCCUGUAAAAAUACAUGUCAGAAUUGUCCAUUUUUGCCAUCUAUAUUUCCACCAAGGAGGCUUCUGAGUUAAUAAAGACCUAUAGAAGUAAGGAAGCAAAUCCCCAGUGAAGUGCUAGGGAGCUUCAGAGCCAGAGUCUUGCAGCAGAGGUUGUUUUGCUGAGCAUCUCUUUUUCCUCCUACAUCCUCAGGUGUCUCUUUUCAGCCAGCGACGUACCAUUCUUCUGGUUGCCUGUCCCCAUUGACAUCUCUGAAGACAUCCUCUCUGUGUUCUUUGGCUUUGACGCUCCCCAGCCAGCAGCAACAUCAAAGAAAUAUGCAGAAAUUCCCAUGUUAGCAGCAAUGGAAAGGAAAUGUGGGAUGCCAAGGUUGCAGUGGUAUGGUAGGAAAGUAGGAAAAUUUUGUCAAUCCACUUAGAAGAAACUGCAGACACAAAAAGCCAGCGCAGGCACCAAAGAACACUUCCUAGAGAUCUCCUGCUUACAGGACUCUUUUAGAAGAUAUACCAAUUCUGUUGCUUUUAUUUAUUUUAUUUUUAAACAGAGAACAAGGAUGUAGCCUAUUUGUUCUUGUGCAAAAGAAGCAACUUGAUGUGGAGAAAACCCACCUGCUUUCCAUUUUUAGGGCAUUUUUCCAUUCUUGGGAGAGACUGUGGACAAUUGUUUAACUAUAUAAAAGCUGUUUUAUUUCCCCUCGAUUAAAAAAAAAACGAUAUGCAGGAUUUGCAACUGUUCUGAGGACAAAUUGUGUGACAAGAAUGAAUGACUCCUUUUCACUAAUAUGUAUGUCUUUUAGCUAAGCUUUUAGUGGAAAAACUGCUCUGAAGAAGCAUAAAUGUGACUUGAAGUCUGAUGCUCUGCUAACUUGGCAAAUACCAGAGGAUAAAGUAUGGAGAAGAGCUAACCUAUAAAGUAUCCUGUAUUUUAACAGCCUGUUUCUCCAUUAAGCAUUUUUAGACAUCAAUAGAACAAAUUGUCCUGUAUUGUAUGUUACAUGUCUGUGCGCUGUAAAAACAUUAAAGCUUUUGUCAGCUUGCUACUUUAACCCUUAAAGAUGUUACCGAUGACUGGUGCUCCCGCAGACAUUGCCUUCUGGAUUUUUUUGGAAAGCUGCUGUUGAUUUUAUGGCUGUGCAGCCACGUCAUCAUUAGUUUUCACCCUCAAGACAAUCCAGAAGCUGGUGGUGAUUUUAUUAUAGCCGCUGUCGUUAUUUGCCUGUGAGCUGCUCCAUGGACGGGGAUAUUCUCAGAUGAAGAAAUGCGUAAACACGAAGCAAAAAGACCCCAAAGGCUUUUUGUGGGGGUAAGUUCAGCCUCACCAGAGUUGGUUCUACAGGGCAGGGACUGCUGUGCAAAAAGUUGGUGAAAAGGCAUCCAUAGACCAUUACAAUAACAUGCUUGUCCACACUAAAUUGCAAAGCACUGCAAAUGUAAUUCUCACCUUGGCAGCUGAAGGUAUAGAAAGGGCAUAGGGGAAGGUGGGGUGGUGUUAAGAGGAAGCAGUGUGGAUUUAGGACUCACACUAGGGCAUGCUUGGGGCAGGCAUCGAUGCAGCCCUGGCCUCCCCUUGCUGACGGGGGUCUUUUGCACAGGCUGUGCUUUGAACCUUCCCACCAGGAUUUUCGGCGCCAUCUUCAUUUCUUCCUGCUUCGUCCUGAGCUCGGGCAACUCCCUGCUUGUCCUGCUGACCUGGGAAACUCUGAUAGCCCCGCCAGCAGCUCCCACUCACACAAUAUUCACGGCGUCCUGGUGGCUUCCUGCACGCCUGACCUUGAGAUAACCACCGAUCGGCCCGGCGGUGGGGACGGCGUCCCAGGCAGGUUCCCACCAUGCACUGACAGCACGGUGGCUGCUCUGCUGUAAGUGUCCAUGUGCUCCUGUUAAUCUGCAACAAGUGCACGCUAACUUGCUCUAGUUUCAUUGAGUUUGAGGACCCUCAGGUCCCAACACUGUUACUCUGGGACUAUUCGGAGGCAGGGCUGUCACACUGGAGAACCCUUCAGCUCAACCCUAUGACCAUGUCUGCCACACAGCGUGACUCUGAAAUACAUGUUUUCAAUCACUGAGUAUGAUUUCAUGAUAUGAUGGCUCUGCAACAAAUAAAAAUGAACAAACAAGCAAAUAAGCAAAUAAAAAUAGUCAAAACACCAACAAAAACAACAAAUUAAGGAACACUUCUCUGCUGCUUCCCAGUGCCUAUGGAUUGCAUGCUGUCCACAGCUGCGUGUCACUGUGAAGAAAUGUUCAUCACUGAAAUUAAUUAAUUCUUUCUUCCCCUAACAAUACUGUUUAUAGCACAGAUCAUCUCUAAGAUCUGGCUCCUAAGCUGUAUAAUUUGGACAAGGGGGAUGGCGGAGGCAGCACUGUUGUGAAGAUGCAGAAGGUGGUUAGGCUGAGGUUAUAUCACAGCACAUCGUUCACUUUAAUGAUUUGAUUAUUCAUGAUAGCCACUGGGGAGAAGGCAAAAAGCAAGAGCCUUAGGCAGGUCUCCCUUUACCACCCACCCAGCAGUCCUCAGGCUGUGCCUGUGGGUCGCUGGGGCCCUAAGACAUGGGGAGAAGGGCUGCAAAAUGACUGCAGCCUUGCCUCCCCAUGCUGGACCACCAAACAUGAAAUCUCCUCCAGGCCUAUGUUCUCAGGAGAGCAAGCAAAGAGCUAAAAGAAAACAAACCAGAAAAUUUUCAGGGGAAAAUAAAAUAAAAUAAAA